rnacentral:rRNA from 1 species
CGGUGGAGCAUGUUGUUUAAUACGUCACUAACCGUAGAGCCUUACCAGGGUUUGACAUGGCGUGCCCUCCUAUGAAAGUGCUCCCGGCACGAACAGGUGUGACGAGCGCAACCCUCAUCCCAUGUUGCCAGCAGGAUGUCAAGUAGCAUGGCCCUUACACCCUGGCUACAUACAUGGACGGUAAACAAGGGAUCCGAGACCGCGAGGUGGAGGCUCUCAGAAAUCCGUUCUCAGUUCGGAUUGCAGUGCAACUCGCCUGCAUGAAGCCGGAAUCGCUAGUAAACGAGGUCAGCUAAACUGCGUUGAAUACGUUCCCGGGCCUUGUACACACCGCCGUCACGUCACCUGAGUUGUCUGCACCCGAAGCCGGUGGGGUAACCGCAAGGAGCCAGCCGUCUAAGUGUGGGGAGUAAGGGGGACGAAGUCGUACAAGGU